rnacentral:rRNA from 1 species
UCCUACGGGGGGCAGCAGUAGGGAAUUUUCGUCAAUGGGCGCAAGCCUGAACGAGCGAUGCCGCGUGAGUGAAGAAGGCCUUCGGGUCGUAAAGCUCUGUUGCGGGGGAAAAAAGGCAGCAUCAGGAAAUGGGUGCUGACUGAUGGUGCCCCGCCAGAAAGUCACGGCUAACUACGUGCCAGCAGCCGCGGUAAUACGUAGGUGGCGAGCGUUAUCCGGAAUGAUUGGGCGUAAAGGGUGCGCAGGCGGUCCAGCAAGUCUGGAGUGAAACGCAUGAGCUCCACUCAUGCAUGGCUUUGGAAACU